rnacentral:rRNA from 1 species
AAUGAAAGAUUUAUUUAUUAGUUUUAAAAAAAAUAGUUUUGAUAAUAGUAUAUUUUAGAAAUUAAUAAUAGAAUUAUAGUGAAUAGUAUAGUGAUAGAAAUAUGAAUUAAUAAGGUUUAAUUGUUUAGAAGAAAAAUUAAUUUUUUGUACCUUGUGUAUCAGGGUUUAUUAAAAUAAGUUAUUAAUAUAAUUUUCUCGAAUUAAAAAGAGCUAUAAUUAUAGAAAUUUAAUUGUUGCAUAACUUUUUAUAAUAUAAUUAUAGAAAUGAAACGUUAGUCGUUUUUUAAGAUAUCUAGUUUCUUAAGAAAUAAAUUUAAUUUAGUUUUUUUAAUUUUAUAUAUAAUUAAUUUUAUAGUUAUAUAUUUAAAAGAUGUAAUAUUUUAAGGGAUGAGCUUUAAAAUAAAUUAUUAAAAAUCAAGUUGGAUUGAAUAGAAAAUUGGUAGGAUUGGAAAUGUUUAUCUGUAGUUUGUUAUAAUUAAUUUUUUAUUGAAUAAGAUUUAUAUAGAUUUUAAUUAAUUUAUUAAGAAUAUAUAUAUAAUAAUAUAUUAUAUGGUAUAAUGAUAAAAUUAGUAUAGAUUAUUGUAUAGAGUAGUUUAUGAUUUAGGUUAAGUUAAGGAACUCGGCAAAUCUAUUUUCCGCCUGUUUAUUAAAAACAUGUCUUUUUGAUUAUAAUUUAAAGUCUAACCUGCCCAAUGAGUAGUUAAAUGGCCGCGGUACACUGACCGUGCAAAGGUAGCAUAAUCAUUAGUUUUUUAAUUGAAAGCUGGAAUGAACGGUUGGACGAGAAAAUAACUGUCUCAAUUUAAUUUUUAAUAGAAUUUUAUUUAUAAGUAAAAAAGCUUAUAUGAAUUUAAAAGACGAGAAGACCCUAUAGAAUUUUAUAUUUAUAUAUAUAUAUAUAUUAAUAGAAUUAGAAUUAUGUGUAUAUAUAUACGUAUUUUGUUGGGGCGAUAGAAAAAUUAACAAAACUUUUUUUAUAUUAAAACAUUGAUUUAUGAGUGAAUGAUCCGUUUUUUACGAUUAUAAGAUUAAAUUACCUUAGGGAUAACAGCGUAAUUUUUUUCUAGAGUUCUUAUCGAAAAAAGAGUUUGCGACCUCGAUGUUGGAUUAAAAUUAACUUUUGGUGUAGGGGCUAAAAGGUUAGGUCUGUUCGACCUUUAAAAUUUUACAUGAUCUGAGUUUAAACCGGCGUGAGCCAGGUUGGUUUCUAUCUUUAAACAAAUUGGAUAUCUUAGUACGAAAGGAUCAGAUAUUUAUAAUAUUUAUUAUAGUUUGAUUAUUAUU